rnacentral:rRNA from 1 species
UACGAAGGGGGCUAGCGUUGCUCGGAAUCACUGGGCGUAAAGCGCACGUAGGCGGCUUUCUAAGUCAGAGGUGAAAUCCUGGAGCUCAACUCCAGAACUGCCUUUGAUACUGGAGAGCUUGAGUUCGGGAGAGGUGAGUGGAACUGCGAGUGUAGAGGUGAAAUUCGUAGAUAUUCGGAAGAACACCAGUGGCGAAGGCGGCUCACUGGACCGGUAUUGACGCUGAGGUGCGAAAGCGUGGGGAGCAAACAGG